GACGAACGCUGGCGGUGUGCUUAACACAUGCAAGUGGUGCGACGAACCAGGCUUCGGCCUGGGGCAAAGCCGCGAACGGGUGAGUAACACGUGGGUAAUCUGCCCCGAUGACCGGGACAACCCGAGGAAACUCGGGCUAAUACCGGAUGUGGUGCCCAGACAUAAGUCUGGUCACUAAAGGUAGCUUCGGCUUCCGCAUUGGGAGGGGCCCGCGGCCCAUUAGCUUGUUGGUGGGGUCAAGGCCUACCAAGGCAACGAUGGGUAGCUGGUCUGAGAGGACGAUCAGCCACACUGGGACUGAGACACGGCCCAGACUCCUACGGGAGGCAGCAGUGGGGAAUCUUGCGCAAUGCGCGAAAGCGUGACGCAGCAACACCGCGUGAGGGAAGACGGCCUUAGGGUUGUAAACCUCUUUCAGAUGGGACGAAGGUUGUCCGGUUAAUAGCCGAGAUAAUUGACGGUACCGUCAGAAGAAGCUCCGGCUAACUACGUGCCAGCAGCCGCGGUAAAGUACAGUG
rnacentral:rRNA from 1 species